rnacentral:tRNA from 1 species
CCGACCUUAGCUCAGUUGGUAGAGCGGAGGACUGUAGUUUGUUGCAGAGAAAUCCUUAGGUCGCUGGUUCGAAUCCGGCAGGUCGGA